GUUCUGCUAGAAGCACUGUGGCUUCCUUUGAACAUCACCACAAUCUUCUGUGGAGCAACUUGCAGGUCUUUAGGGUCUGAGAACUGAUGCUAGUGAUCACAGGAGGCAGAUGCAGCUGGACAUGGCCAUCAUUAAUGCUGUUUCCUCAUUUUCUUCUUUCCCUCCCCCUAGGCUUAUGGUGGACUUCCUUGGUGGCUCAGCGAUAAAGAAUCUGCCUGCCAAUGUGUGAGACAUGGGUUCAAUCCCUGGGUCAGGAAGAUUCCCUAGAGAAGGAGAUGGCAACCCACCCCAGUAUUCUUGCCUGGAAAGUUCCAUGGACAGGAGCAAGCUACAGUCUAUCGGGUCACGGAGAGAUGGACAGGACUUGGCGACUACACAACACCGACAAGGCAUAUGCACUGGGUUGCGGUGAGAGGGAGAGAAGCACUGGCUGUGAGGAAACCAUAUUCCUGAGUCACCUGUGGCCCGUGUCAGGCAGCCCUGCUGCUGCGGCUGGUCGUGGUGUAGAUGGGAGGACGGCGGGGAACAGCUGAGAAAGAAAGGACAGAAGCAGGCAAGCUGGCAAGAAGAAGCGGAAAGGACGCAAACAGAAAGAAGUAAGAAGCAAUGAAGGGAGGAAGAAAGGAACGCUAGAGCAAAACCCCAGAUGGUUCCGUGGUAAAGAAUCUGCCAGCCGAUGCAGGAGAUUCAGGCAAUGUGGGUUUGA
rnacentral:lncRNA from 1 species